GAGAAAGGAGGUGGAGAUGGAGAGAAAGGAGGUAGAGAUGGAGAGAAAGGAGGUGGAGUUGGAGAGAAAGGAGGUGGAGAUGGAGAGAAAGGAGGUGGAGAUGGAGAGAAAGGAGGUGGAGAUGGAGAGAAAGGAGGUGGAGAUGGAGAGAAAGGAGGUGGAGAUGGAGAGAAAGGAGGUGGAGAUGGAGAGAAAGGAGGUGGAGAUGGAGAGAAAGGAGGUGGAGAUGGAGAGAAAGGAGGUGGAGAUGGAGAGAAAGGAGGUGGAGAUGGAGAGAAAGGAGGUGGAGAUGGAGAGAAAGGAGGUGGAGAUGGAGAGAAAGGAGGUGGAGAUGGAGAGAAAGGAGGUGGAGAUGGAGAGAAAGGAGGUGGAGAUGGAGAGAAAGGAGGUGGAGAUGGAGAGAAAGGAGGUGGAGAUGGAGAGAAAGGAGGUGGAGAUGGAGAGAAAGGAGGUGGAGAUGGAGAGAAAGAAAGUGGAGAUGGAG